rnacentral:miRNA from 1 species
CUCACAGCUCCGGUCCUUGGAG